GACGAACGCUGGCGGCGUGCUUAACACAUGCAAGUCGAACGGAAAGGCCCUGCUUUUGUGGGGUUCUCGAGUGGCGAACGGGUGAGUAACACGUGAGUAACCUGCCCUUGACUUUGGGAUAACUUCAGGAAACUGGGGCUAAUACCGGAUAGGAGCUCCUGCUGCAUGGUGGGGGUUGGAAAGUUUCGGCUGUUGGGGAUGGACUCGCGGCUUAUCAGCUUGCUGGUGGGGUAGUUGCUGACCAAGGCUGUGACGGGUAGCCGGCCCGAGAGGGUGACCGGGCACAAUGGUACUGAGAGACGGAGCAGACGGGAACGGUAGGCAGCAGUGGGAAAUAUUGCACAAUGGGAGGAAGCCGGAUGCAGAGACGCCGCGUGCGGGAUGACGGCCUGCGGGUUGUAAACCGCUUUAGCCUGUGACGAAGCGGGAGUGACGGUAAUGGGUAAAGAAGCACCGGCUAACUACGUG
rnacentral:rRNA from 1 species